CAAAUCCCAACACCUCUUCUGACCCGCCAUUUGUUAGACUGUCUCGCCACAUUGUCGGCACACCCGCACGCCAAGUGGAUGAAAGAGUAGAUGCGAUCAUCACGCUCCAAAUUUUCUCUCUCUGCAUUUUAUGCUUCCACCUCUUCUCUCCACUUUUGCUUUCGACUCUCGGGUGCUGUAGAGACAUCUCUCCUUCUUAAUGUUUUACUUGGAGAACUGAGGUAAAAACUUGGUUUUUAGGAGUGCGGCGAGAGUUUGGCUGAGAGAGGAGAGGGGAAAACUUGACAGUGUGGGUGAGUGAUCGAGCUAGCUUCAUGUUGUCUUACUGGAUUUGGCGGUUCUAGUUUUGUCGCGAGGGGUAGAGAUGUUCCGGAUAAGCGCGUGGGGUUGAAGACGAUGUCGUCCUACGACUAGAAAUAGUACCGAAGUUGAUCGAUUCUGCCCCCCGGCCUCAUCUGUUCUGAGAAGUUUUGGAGUUUCGUGGAAAAAAGAUCUGUUUUUUGGGGAUAAUCCAUCGAAAACGCCGUUGAUCGGCGAAAAAAAAUCGAUCUUGAGUCGUCUACCAACCGCGAACCUCAUGGUCGUGACGCUGUCGUCCUACGACUAGGAAUAGGACCCCCUCGGCCUCAUCUGCUCUGAGAAAUUUCGGAUUUUCACGGAAAAAAAAUCUGAUUUUUGGGGAUAAUCCAUCGAAAACGCCGUCGAUCGGCGAAAAAAAAUUGAUCUUGGGUCGUCUCCCGACCGUGAACCGCCUGAUCGUGACGGAUUUGGCCUCGGACUGCUGGGGUCGUUCUUCGCAGGAGCAACGGCCGCCGCCAUGGCGAGCUUGCCCGGUUCGGUUGACUACUGGAGGAAGUUCUUCCGGAGCGCCGACUCUGAUAUAUUCGGAGUGAUGGAGCACGCGAUCGUCGUCGCGGCGUCGGAUUACCCCGAGGAGUUCAGGAGCAGAAGGGAUGGGCUCGUGGAGAAGUUCUUCGCUGCGCUGCUGCCACGGUGCCUCGGCUGCGACCGCGUCGACCCGCGAGGGGCAGAGGUAGAGGAGGGGCGUGGCAGCGUGAGGAGGGUCGGGGAGAAGGAGAACAAGGUGGACAGCAGCAACGACGGGCCCGAGUCGUCUACGAGGGUGGUGAGCAAUUACACGUACGACGAGGCGGAGGCGCUCACCGAAGAGAUCGAAGAGGAAGGUCAAAUCGUCGAAGAGGUGCUGAGUAUAAAGGAGAUCCUCGCCAACCACCAUGAGGAGUCUGAUAAUGUCCUGUUCGAGUUGUUGAGGCGGCUGCAACUGAUGGAACUUUCUGUCGAUGUUCUGAAGGUGACCGAGAUUGGAAGGGCUGUGAAUGGCCUGCGCAAACACAACUCACAGCAAAUUCGCCACCUAGUUCGCGCUCUGAUCGAUGGUUGGAAGGUUUUGGUUGAUGAAUGGGUCAGUGCUACCAGUGCCAUUGCUGAUAACUCUCCGGACUCUGUAAAUCCUUCUAUGGUGGAUGAUGAGGAAGGGCUUCCUUCUCCCCCAUUAGAUGAGGGAGCUCUAUUUACUGCUCAGACAACUUCCAUCCGACUCUCGGAGUUCUUUGAUGGAAUGGAUGAUGAUGGAAAUUUCAGAAAUAAUUGGGAGUUCGAUAAGAAGCGGCAGAAUAGGCGAAGGCCUACGGGCAAUUGUGAAACGGUAAGAAUACAACAACCUAUCCAACAAUUAGAUAUUGUAGAAGAGGAAAAUGUAGAGAUGAGGAGGCAAGAAGCACAGCGAUCCAUUUUGCCAGAAGAGAAUAUAAGGAGGCAAGAAUCACAACAGUUAGCUAUAUCAGAAGAGAAGCUACACAAUAAUAGACAAGAACUCGAAACGAGGCAGUCAAAGCCACACAAUAUCUCUAUAGAGCAAGCAAAGUCCCAAAGCAUCAUGAGCAAACAAAGCAAGCCUGUGAUUGCUGAAUCCGGGCCUGGCAGACCAGUAAAGUAUACCUCUGAGCAGAAUGUAUGCAGUAAGGUGAAACCUGGACCACGACAAGAUACUGCUACACUUCGAAGGAAGCCACCAAUGAUUCCACAAAAUGAACCGAUGUACUUUGAGGAGGCCUCGGUCAGGGCUAAGCUGGAAUUCGCAAAGCGAAAGCUUCAUGAAGGUUACCGACAAGCAGAAAAUGCCAAGAAGCAGCGGACGAUACAAGUUAUGGAGUUGCAUGAUAUUCCGAAGCAGGCACACAACAGUAGGCAGCCUAUUCUGAAAUCCAAAAAUCACUUUAGAAAUUGGGCAAAUGGGUGGCACUAGUUCUGUUAAUUAUCCAACCAGGUUGCAAAAUUGCACCUCCGGACCUUCCUUUUUCUUUCGGUGGAAGAUCUUCGACUUGCCGUGGAAAAUUGGUUGCUUUGGAACAAGAUGCUAAGCUUUGUAGUUCAAUCCAGUCUUCUCUUACUGCAUCAGUCUGGGAUCGACGAAGACAUCGUUACAUAUCAUAUUGUUUCUUGUUACUGACCCCUCAAUGCAACUAUGAAGCUAAACAUAAUUACUUUGUGAUUGCUUUUGGUUUUGGCCAAUCUCGUUCCAUAGUUUUUGCUCAUUGCAUGCUUGGGAAGAACAAUCAUGCCAUAAAAGCUCUACCUAGAGUCAAUGUAAACUAUGUUGUAAUCAAUCUAGCAUGCAAAAAUACACACUGCAGGUGGCUCUGCUUCUCAU